rnacentral:rRNA from 1 species
GUGUCAGCCGCCGCGGUAAUACGGGGGGUGCAAGCGUUAAUCGGAUUUACUGGGCGUAAAGAGCACGUAGGCGGUUGAUUAAGUUGGAUGUGAAAGCCCAGGGCUUAACCCUGGAACUGCAUUCAAAACUGCUCAACUCGAGUAAGGGAGAGGAGAGUGGAAUUUCCAGUGUAGCGGUGAAAUGCAUAGAUAUUGGAAGGAACACCAGUGGCGAAGGCGACUCUCUGGCCUAUUACUGACGCUGAGGUGCGAAAGCGUGGGGAGCAAACAGGAUUAGAAACCCCGGUAGUCC